rnacentral:rRNA from 1 species
AGUGAACGCUGGCGGUAGGCCUAACACAUGCAAGUCGAACGGCAGCACAGUAAGAGCUUGCUCUUACGGGUGGCGAGUGGCGGACGGGUGAGGAAUACAUCGGAAUCUACUUUUUCGUGGGGGAUAACGUAGGGAAACUUACGCUAAUACCGCAUACGACCUACGGGUGAAAGCAGGGGAUCUUCGGACCUUGCGCGAUUGAAUGAGCCGAUGUCGGGUUAGCUAGUUGGCGGGGUAAAGGCCCACCAAGGCGAGGAGACGUAGCUGGUCUGAGAUGAUGAUGAGCAAGACUAGAACUGGGACGCGGUACAGACUCGUACGGGAGGCAGCAGUGGGGAAGAGAGGACAAUGGGCGGAAGGCUGGUCCAGCCAUACCGCGUGGGUGAAGAAGGCAUUCGGGUUGUAAAGUCCUUUUGUGGGGAAAGAAAAGCAGCAGGUUAAUACCCCGCUGUGCUGACGGUACCCAAAGAGUAAGCACCGGCUAACUUCGUG